rnacentral:rRNA from 1 species
GGCGAGUGGCGAACGGGUGAGUAAUACAUCGGAACGUACCUUAUUGUGGGGGAUAACGCAGCGAAAGCUGUGCUAAUACCGCAUAAUCCCUAAGGGGGAAAGCGGGGGACCGUAAGGCCUCGCGCAAUUAGAGCGGCCGAUACCUGAUUAGCUAGUUGGUGAGGUAAAGGCUCACCAAGGCAACGAUCAGUAGCUGGUCUGAGAGGACGAUCAGCCACACUGGGACUGAGACACGGCCCAGACUCCUACGGGAGGCAGCAGUGGGGAAUUUUGGACAAUGGGGGCAACCCUGAUCCAGCAAUGCCGCGUGAGUGAAGAAGGCCUUCGGGUUGUAAAGCUCUUUUGUCAGGGAAGAAACAGCAGCUCUAACACAGUUUGCGAAUGACGGUACCUGAAGAAUAAGCACC